AAUGAUGCAUACAUUAAUUUUUAUGAAUAACAUCCUAAUAAACCCCUGGACUGUAGCAUUUCAGAUGUGUUUGAGCAAAAUUUCUGCUCAUGUUCAAAACUUUGUGCACAUUCAAAAUAUAUCUCGUCUGUGUUCUCUGAGAUUUGGAUGAGUCGUGAUAUUUUGAGAAAAAUAACAUUUCAAGAAUAAAGUCACAAUAUUUCAGAAAAUAAUCCACCUGC